AGAACGAACGCUGGCGGCAGGCCUAACACAUGCAAGUCGAACGCUCCGCAAGGAGAGUGGCAGACGGGUGAGUAACGCGUGGGAAUUUCCCCCAAGGUUCGGAAUAACUGAGGGAAACUUCAGCUAAUACCGAAUGGUACCGAGAGGUUAAAGAUUUAUCGCCUUGGGAUGAGCCCGCGUUGGAUUAGCUAGUUGGUGGGGUAACGGCCCACCAAGGCUUUGAUCCAUAGCUGGUCUGAGAGGACGACCAGCCACACUGGGACUGAGACACGGCCCAGACUCCUACGGGAGGCAGCAGUGGGGAAUCUUGGACAAUGGGCGCAAGCCUGAUCCAGCCAUGCCGCGUGGGCGAUGAAGGUCUUCGGAUUGUAAAGCCCUUUUGGCGGGGUACGAUAAUGACGGUACCCGCAGAAUAAGCUCCGGCUAACUUCGUGCCAGCAGCCGC
rnacentral:rRNA from 1 species